rnacentral:rRNA from 1 species
UACUAGAGUAGCACUCGCAUAUCAAUAAGCGGAGGAAAAGAAACUAACAAGGAUUCCCCUAGUAACGGCGAGUGAAGCGGGAAGAGCUCAAAUUCGAAAUCUUAAAGGGUUUCCCUUUACGAAUUGUAGUUUAAAGAAGUGUUUUCUGUUGAGGUUUUGGUAAAAGCUCUUUGGAAUAGGACAUCAUAGAGGGUGAGAAUCCCGUAUUUGACCUUUACUUUCAACUUUGUGAUACACUUUCAAAGAGUCGGAUUGUUUGGGAAUGCAGUCCAAAAUGGGUGGUAAAUUUCAUCUAAAGCUAAAUAUUGGCGAGAGACCGAUAGCGAACAAGUACCGUGAGGGAAAGAUGAAAAGAACUUUGAAAAGAGAGUUAAACAGUACGUGAAAUUGUCAAAAGGGAGGCGUUUGACACCAGUGUUGUUUUUCUGAAAAUCAACUAAAGAACUGUUUAUGCUAAGCUGUUUAGACUUUAUCAGCUAUCUGUUUAGUUUUGAGCUUUUCUUUAAUGCACUUUUCAGUUAACAAGUCAACAUCAAUUUCUUUUGCUGUAAAAAAGCUUGAGGAAGGUGGCUUGAGAUUCGUCUUAAGUGUUUAUAGCCUCUUGCCUACUGCAGUCGGAGAGAUUGAGGUCUGCAGCGUAGAUCCUUCGGGGCUAAAUGCAUUUGUGCUAAGUUAUAGCAUUUCAUAGACAACUUGUUGACUAUGAUUUGUCUUGUAGCUUACUCGCUUAUGUUAUUUUACCUACGCUUAGGAUGUUGAUCUCUCACAGUCGAGC